rnacentral:rRNA from 1 species
UGGGGAAUCUUGCACAAUGGGCGAAAGCCUGAUGCAGCGACGCCGCGUGCGGGAUGAAGGCCUUCGGGUUGUAAACCUUUUUCGCUCAUGGUCAAGCCGCAGCUUUGGGUUGUGGUGAGGGUAGUGGGUAAAGAAGCGCCGGCUAACUACGUGCCAGCAGCCGCGGUAAUACGUAGGGCGCGAGCGUUGUCCGGAAUUAUUGGGCGUAAAGGGCUUGUAGGCGGUUGGCCGCGUCUGCCGUGAAAUCCUCUGGCUUAACUGGGGGCGUGCGGUGGGUACGGGUUGACUUGAGUGCGGUAGGGGAGACUGGAAUUCCUGGUGUAGCGGUGGAAUGCGCAGAUAUCAGGAGGAACACCGGUGGCGAAGGCGGGUCUCUGGGCCGUUACUGACGCUGAGGAGCGAAAGCGUGGGGAGCGAACAGG